rnacentral:rRNA from 1 species
UGAGUUUAAAUAGAUUUAUUUAAUAUUUUUGUUUAUUUAUUGUUAUGAUUUUAUUGAAGAUAUUUAAGUUAUUAUUUUUUAUAUUUAAUUUUAUUAAUUAUAGUUUAUUGAUACUGUGAAGGUAAAAUUAAUGAUUUUAUAAGAAUAUUUAAUUUAUAGUACCUUGUGUAUCAGGGUUGAUUAAAUUUAAAUUAUUAUUGUUUAAUAUUCUCGAAUUAAGGAGAGCUAUAAUUUUAUUAAUUUUAUUGUUUAAUAAUUAUUAUAAAUAAAUUUAUUGAGGUGAAACAUUAUUCGAUCUUUAAUAUAUCUAGUUUCUUAAGAAAAAAGUUUAAUUUGUUUAUUUUUACUAAUUUUGUAUAUUAUUGCUUUAUUAAUAUUAAUAUCUUAAAAUUUUAGGGUUGAGCUUGAAAUUUUAAUUAUAUAAUUUUUAUUUGUUAUUAAAAAUUUUGAAUUGGAAGUUUUUAUAUUUAGUGAGUUAUUUCUGUUUUAAUGUUAAGUUUUUAUUUUUAUUUAAUUUAUAUAUUUUAUUGAGAUUAUUAAGAUUAUAUUUUCUAUUUUGUUAUUAUGAUUAAAUUAGUAAAUUUUAUUAUUUGUAUAUAAUAUAUUUUUAUGAUAGUCAGUUUAAAGGAAUUCGGCAAAUUGAUUUUUUACCUGUUUAUUAAAAACAUGGCUUUUUGAUUGUUUUAUUUAAAGUCUAGUCUGCCCAAUGAUAUUAUUUAAUGGCCGCAGUAUUUUAACUGUGCAAAGGUAGCAUAAUCAUUAGUUUUUUAAUUGAAAGCUGGAAUGAAGGGCUGGAUAAAAAAAGAGCUGUCUCUAUGUUGAUUAUAUUGAAUUUUUUUACUAAGUUAAAAGGCUUAGAUAUUUAAUGAAGACGAGAAGACCCUAUAGAGCUUUAUAUUUAUUUUUAUCUAAUUUAUUAGAAUUAUUUUUUAUUUAAUUAUAAUUAUUUUAUUGGGGUGAUUUAAAAAUUUAUUUAACUUUUUAUUAAUUGUAACAUUUAUUUUUGGAUGAAUGAUCCUAAAUUUGGAUUGUAAGAAUAAGUUACCUUAGGGAUAACAGCGUUAUUUCUUUUGAGAGUUCAAAUCGAGAAGGAAGAUUGCGACCUCGAUGUUGGAUUAAAAUUUUUCUUUGGCGUAGUAGCUAAGGGUAUAAGUCUGUUCGACUUUUAAAAUUUUACAUGAUCUGAGUUUAAACCGGUGUGAGCCAGGUUGGUUUCUAUCUCUUUAUAGAUUUUAUGGUUUAGUACGAAAGGACCAGCUAUUUAAUAAAAUAUUUAUUGAUAAGAGUAUUAUUAAGGUAUUAGUUAUUUUGGCAGAUUAGUGCAAUUGAUUUAGGUUCUUUUUAUAUAGGUUUACUAUAA